rnacentral:tRNA from 1 species
GGGCUGGGGCUCAGGGGUAGAGUGCUCGUCUACUGCAUGUGAGGCCCUGGGUUCGAUCCUCAGCACCACA